UUCAACUGAAGUCUCUGCUGCAUUUAUUGAUCGCUUUUUCUGCAACACACUUGACUCGAUUCGAGCUGCUAUUUAUCAUACCAUUGAAAUUGUACUUUUUUCAUUAAAACAACUUAAGAAAGACAAGUUAUUGGCAAAAGAACAAGAACCUUAUGAUAUAGGCCAUGGAGUAAGAAAUCUGAGUGAAACAUGGAUAAGUUGCAGAUGUCCUUUGCCUUGAUUACUACCCUGCUGUCGAUGUGCUUCUUUGAGCAUGAGUGGCUGAACAUAUUCGAGGAACAGGAUCUAUGGACAUCAGAUAUAUCUAUGGCUGACUUCUCCUCUGCACCCUUUCUCCAUUACGCACCGGACUGGGCACUCUGUGCUGAAAUAUAUCCACCUCCAUUACCAUCUCACAAAGCAAAGUAGGCUGGCUUUCGUGGCUAUCAUCAUUUGAUAUCUGAAGAUUGCUCACUCAAUCACAUCGUAUAAGCUUUGGGUCAGUUUAGCAGAUUACAUGACAGCAUGAGAUUCCAAGCAGCAGUUUCGGUUACAUUUAUCUUCAUCUAUACCAUAAAAGAACUCAUGCUGCU
rnacentral:lncRNA from 1 species